CACGUAGGCGGACUCUUAAGUCGGUGGUGAAAUCCUGGAGCUCAACUCCAGAACUGCCUCCGAUACUGGGAGCCUUCGAGUCCGGGAGAGGUGAGUGGAACUGCGAGUGUAGAGGUGAAAUUCGUAGAUAUUCGCAAGAACACCAGUGGCGAAGGCGGCUCACUGGCCCGGUACUGACGCUGAGGUGCGAAAGCGUGGGGAGACAAACGAA
rnacentral:rRNA from 1 species